rnacentral:rRNA from 1 species
UAAUCAUUUGUCUAUUAAUUGUAGACCAGUAUGAAAGGCCACAUGAGAGUCAGACUGUCUCUUGUAAUUACUCAAUUAAACUGAUCUCCUAGUACAAAAGCCAGGAUAAACAUAUAAGACCAGAAGACCCUGUGAAGCUUAAACUAACCCGUUAAACCCAAUAACGGCCACUUUCGGUUGGGGCGACCUUGGAACAAAACAAAACUUCCAAACAAUACUGAUACCCUCACAUCCAGGCCAACAAGCCACUACACCGACCCAGUCUCACUGAUCGAUGAACCAAGUUACUCCAGGGAUAACAGCGCUAUCUUCUUCAAGAGCCCAUAUCAAAAAGAAGGUUUACGACCUCGAUGUUGGAUCAGGACACCCAAAUGGUGCAGCCGCUAUUAAAGGUU